GGACAGUGAGACACUAGGGACACAGACUCUGGGAGACAUGAGGACAGUGAGACACUAGGGACACUGGCUGGGAGACAUGGGGACACAGACAUUUGAAGACACUGGGAGAUAUGGGGACACUGGGAGACAUGGGGACAGACACUGGGAGAUAUUGGCACACUGGGAGCCAUGGGGACACUGAGAAACUAGGGACACUGGCUGGGAGACAUGGGGACACGGGGAGACA